AAUAGAUACCCUGGUAGUCCACGCCGUAAACGAUGAGUGCUAAGUGUUAGGGGGUUUCCGCCCCUUAGUGCUGCAGCCAACGCAUUAAGCACUCCGCCUGGGGAGUACGGUCGCAAGACUGAAACUCAAAGGAAUUGACGGGGGCCCGCACAAGCGGUGGAGCAUGUGGUUUAAUUCGAAGCAACGCGAAGAACCUUACCAGGUCUUGACAUCCCAUUGACCACUAUGGAGACAUAGUUUUCCCUUCGGGGACAACGGUGACAGGUGGUGCAUGGUUGUCGUCAGCUCGUGUCGUGAGAUGUUGGGUUAAGUCCCGCAACGAGCGCAACCCUUGUUCUUAGUUGCCAUCAUUUAGUUGGGCACUCUAAGGAGACUGCCGGUGACAAACCGGAGGAAGUGGGGAUGACGUCAAAUCAUCAUGCCCCUUAUGACCUGGGCUACACACGUGCUACAAUGGACGGUACAAACGGUUGCCAACCCGGCAGGGGGGANCGUAAUCCGAUAAAACCGUUCUCAGUUCGGAUUGUAGGCUGCAACUCGCUACAUGGAACG
rnacentral:rRNA from 1 species